rnacentral:misc_RNA from 1 species
UUGAUAUUCGUCGAUAAAGGUGAAAAGUAACGAACAUAAUUAAUAAAAUAAAAAAAAAAAUAAAAAUUACGGGACAAAAAAAUUAUAAUAAACGCGUGAUUAUUAUCGUUAAGCGAUGGAUGUGACGGAUGAACCUUACGAUUCCGUCGCUCCAACCGAUUACGAGGAGGAUAACAAAUUAACCGUGGAAAAUAAUAAUAAUAAUAAUAAUGAUAAUAUUAAGAACGAGGAUGACAAUACGGCCACGGUCGAGGAGACCUACGAGGUCACAACAACAAAACGUAAGACCGUUCGCACCAGCUAUAAGAUACAAGAAACAUCUGCAUCAACCAAAACUACCACCAUGACAACAGCUGCUAAGUUAUAUGGCAAGGAUCUAAGUGAAUACGAAGAUAUUGAUGUCGAUGAAUUGCUGGCGCAGUUAACAUCUGAAGAGAUCAAUAUACUUGCCAAGGAAGUUGAUCCAGAUGACAGUUUUAUGCCUCCAUCACAGCGUUGCAGUUAUGAGUGCGACAAAAGUCCAACUGGUCCUCUUAAUCGAAAGAAACUCAUCGAACAUAUUAACAAACAAGCUUUGGAGACACCGGAUAGACCAGAAUUAAAACCAUAUGUACCUGGAGUUAUUAGAGGAAAGAAAUGGAUCCCACCAGUUCAGGAUAAUGCGAAAGAAAAAGAAGUCGAUGAGCAGAUAGCGAUAGAUCUUGGUGAAGAAUAUGAACAAGCAUUGUCUAAUGCAUCUCAAGAAGAAAUUAUUGAUCUUGCUGCCAUUCUUGGGUUCCACUCUAUGAUGAACCAGGAUCAAUAUCAUGCAUCUUUAUUAAAUUCUGGACAGCCUGUUGGAUUGGGCUGGGAUGGAGUGACGAAAGCUAGUCAACCAAAACCUUAUCCGAUGGAACCACCUAAUGAUACGGAUGUUGAUGCAACUAUCAAACAAGUUAGAGAUGACGAUUCUAAGCUAACCGAAUUAAAUUGGAAUAAUAUUAAAAAUAUCUCGGACGAGAAAUUUAUCCAAUUGUUCGAAGGAUUAGAAGGAAAUACGCAUCUCGAGUCAUUGAGUUUAACAAAUGUUGGACUUAACGAUAAAACCGCUCAAAGGUUGGCAGAUGCCAUGGAGAAAAACUCUACGCUUAGAGUAUUAAAUGUUGAGACAAAUUUCAUAAGCCCACCUGUGAUAGUUAGGCUCAUCAGAGCUCUUUUAAAGACCAAAUCUAUCGAAGAAUUUCGAUGUUCUAAUCAGAGAUCACAAGUUUUGGGUAACAAAAUUGAAAUGGAAAUUACACAAUUGGUCGAACAAAAUCCAACGUUAUUACGACUCGGACUUCAUUUCGAGUUCAACGAUGCCAGACAUCGCGUUGCUGCACAUUUACAACGUAACAUCGAUAGGAUACGGAAAGACCUAACGCUGCGGCUACAGUUCAGAUUCUUUAACAUGAACCACAGGAAACCUGCCUUGAUUCAAUGAAAGUACGGCAGUCCCGGCUCGGGGUGGCGACAUCUUAACGCGAGUGGCGUUCGCCUAGAUCGCCUACGCCGUACGGGAAGGGCUUCCCGCAAU